rnacentral:rRNA from 2 species
UCCCAUAAACCGUGGCUCAGUUCAGAUCGUAGGCUGCAACUCGCCUACGUGAAGGAGGAAUCGCUAGUAAUCGCAGGUCAGCAUACUGCGGUGAAUACGUUCCCGGGCCUUGUACACACCGCCCGUCACACCAUGGAAGUUGGCCACGCCCGAAGCCGUUACUCCAACCCUUGUGGAGGAGGACGUCGAAGGUGGGGCUGAUGACUGGGGUGAAGUCGUAACAAGGUAUCCGUACCGGAAGGUGCGGAUGGAUCACCUCCUAA